UACGUAGGGUGCGAGCGUUGUCCGGAAUUACUGGGCGUAAAGAGCUCGUAGGCGGUUUGUCGCGUCGUCCGUGAAAACUUGGGGCUCAACCCCAAGCUUGCGGGCGAUACGGGCAGACUUGAGUACUGCAGGGGAGACUGGAAUUCCUGGUGUAGCGGUGAAAUGCGCAGAUAUCAGGAGGAACACCGGUGGCGAAGGCGGGUCUCUGGGCAGUAACUGACGCUGAUGCACGAAAGCGUGGGGAGCAAACAGG
rnacentral:rRNA from 1 species